AAUCAUUUAUAUUUUGUUUACAGUUUGAAUUUCUCAUAGUAUUGGGAGUUUCACAAGGUCUGUGUAGAUACGGCUCUGCGCCACACGCAGGGUUAUACAUGUACCCUGGUACAUUCUCGAAUAAAUGACAGAGACCUCA